CACUAGGUGAAAUUUUGACAGUUUGGUGCGAAAAAAUGACAGAUGUAAACAAACCACAUUUUCUUUUCAUUUCUUCACCAAAUCUUCUGAUUUUUUAGUUUAUUACUUUGGAUGUGAAAUUCAGUUUUACAGAUUAAUUCUCACAGAGGUUGUGAACAGCAAGGCAAGAUGUUUUUAAUAGAUUACAAACAUUUCAGCAGAAUGAAUCGUGUACAUUGAACCCUGGAAAUUGUGAUUGAGCAAUCUGAAUCUUGUAACAUUGAAAUAGUGGUCCAUAUUAUGAAUAACAAUGCUGAUUUCAAACUAACAUUUUCAUGGUAGAGUAAUGGGAACUUUCAAAUACUAACCACAUUUAAUAUUCUGCUGUUUCAAGUUGAGGACAGAGAUUAUAUAUGGCACAAAAACAUCUUCUACAGAACUAACAAAAUAUAAAUUAUAAAGAACAGCAUCAGUUUGUACUUUUCUGCACUAAUUAUGAUGUGUCAUCAACACACUCUUAAUGGACUUAACAAAAAGAAGUAAUUUAUUCUUCUCAACUGGUGUAUGGAGUUAUACAUCUUAUGAUUAUAGAGAUGUGGUAUUACAUAAUGUUUGAUUAAACAGUUGCUGUUUGUUAAUAUGUUGAAUUAGAUGAAUUAGAUGUUUGCAUAGAUUCAAUGUUGUAUAUAGAAGCAUGCUGUUCAAUUGUACAUUUUUAUUGCACAUUUAUUGAAAGGUUUUGUAAGCUUUAUAACAUUUAUAACUGCUGUAUUAACUUAUAAGUGUAAAACAUUUGGUAUAUUUUUAAGUAUGUUUUGCUGUUUUAAUGAAUAAACAAUCAUUAAUGGUGUGAAAA